UUCACAAUCACAGCUGUGUGGCUCAGUGAGAUGGAUUUCCUACCGUCUAUAAUACAGCUGUCCACCUCUGGGUAAUGCAGCUGUGUGAUUGAUUGGUGUCACAGAUGACUGACGCAGCACGCAUUCUCAUCUGCAGGGUGAUUACAGGCUCUGCCUCAAAGAUUUUCACCCAGGUACAAACAUGCAUCUUUAUACAAAAUACAUCACAAGGAAAAAUAGACUGAAAGCUGCAGAAACAACAGAGUGAAAGGUUUAUGACCCCCGUGUGCAGAAGAAGAACGUGGACGUCACACAUCAACAGACCGUUUAAGGAAGUGAUAAUGGAUCGAUUUUAAAGUUUUUUAGCUGACAGUAUCAUCAUGAGGUCAUAAAAAGAUGAAGGAAGACAAAAGAAAGCACAACUUCAGUGGAGUAUGAACUUCAGAUCUGCUUGUGGUGCAGAAUUAUGUCACAUUUCACAUCAAUGAUUAAAUGCUGACAGAGUUACCUGACUCCUGGUGGGGCCCCCCUCUGCUCCUGCGCAGGGGCCCAGCGUGAGGACAGGCAUCUCCUGG